UACAGAGGGCGCGAGCGUUGUCCGGAAUCACUGGGCGUAAAGGGCGCGUAGGUGGCCACUAUAAGGCCGCGGUGAAAGUUCGGGGCUCAACCCUGAAUCGGCCGCGGCGACUGUAGGGCUCGGGCACCGUAGAGGCAGAUGGAAUUCCGGGUGUAGCGGUGGAAUGCGUAGAUAUCAGGAAGAACACCCGUGGCGAAGGCGGCUCUCUGGGACGGUACUGACGCUGAGACGCGAAAGCGUGGGGAGCGAACAGG
rnacentral:rRNA from 1 species